rnacentral:rRNA from 1 species
CGUACACUCCUACGGGAGGCAGCAGUGGGGAAUAUUGCACAAUGGGCGCAAGCCUGAUGCAGCCAUGCCGCGUGUGUGAAGAAGGCCUUCGGGUUGUAAAGCACUUUCAGCGGGGAGGAAGGCGAUACGGUUAAUAACCGUGUUGAUUGACGUUACCCGCAGAAGAAGCACCGGCUAACUCCGUGCCAGCAGCCGCGGUAAUACGGAGGGUGCAAGCGUUAAUCGGAAUUACUGGGCGUAAAGCGCACGCAGGCGGUCUGUCAAGUCGGAUGUGAAAUCCCCGGGCUCAACCUGGGAACUGCAUUCGAAACUGGCAGGCUUGAGUCUUGUAGAGGGGGGUAGAAUUCCAGGUGUAGCGGUGAAAUGCGUAGAGAUCUGGAGGAAUACCGGUGGCGAAGGCGGCCCCCUGGACAAAGACUGACGCUCAGGUGCGAAAGCGUGGGGAGCAAACAGGAUUAGAUACCCCAGUAGUCCCAUGAU